UUGCGUGUCCACCGUGGUUUGUAUAGAAAUUAAUAUUAAGUGACACAUACACGUAAAAGGGCAGUUUUUUUCAAGAGCUCCUUGGGGAAUGAUUUGGAAAAUUUGAGGAAGCUUGAACUAUCAAAUAGGAUGGCGGCAGACAAAUGGCCAGUGAAUGAAAAUCUGUCGGUGGCGGUAACUAUUGUCACACACUUCAUAGGCAAUUUGCGCAAAGUUACAAGCGGUCCUGCGCUUAUCCUGGACACCGGUAUGUUUUGCACAAAGGCACGGGACAUCACGUAGGCCUAUCGUUCUCAUGUUGGCCACAAACUUGUCUGUAACCCUGUGUGCCUCCACUGCAUCGAUUGCUCUUUUCUGCAGCUGUAAAUAAAGCACAUCUACACGGGGCAUGAUCUUAGAACAGGUCUAAGGAAUAAAAACUCGGGAUCUAAGAGCAUUCGAGAAAACCCUUUAGCCUCUCUAACUGAGAUUGUAUUAAAAUCUCCAGAUGUUUCAAUUAUUUCGAAACACUCCAAAAUAAGCUUUUAAAUCUUUUCGGAGAUCUUGAAAAAAGCGGAGAAGCUAUAAAAAUCCGAGAAGAAGACACGCACUGAGGAAGCUGCUGACGCAGCCUUUUCCAUCACCAGGUUCAAUUGAUGUGCAUAGCAGUUAGGGUAGGCUACACGUCUUGCACUUUCUUACGCACUCCACCAGAUGCUCCUCCCAUGACACUAGCCCCAUCAAAUGUCAGUGCAAUCAGCCUUACUUUAUCUGUGUCACUUUCCCAGAUAGCAAAUCAUUUUGGCUUUGUUUUGGUAUACAUUUGGCCUCUUUGGGCUUGUUUUGGCACAGGAAAAGCUCCCUCUAAGUCUUUUGGGCGACCUGUGGCUUAAUUAUGAUUUGCCAUAAUACAUAAAGGGCGCCAUGCAAUUUUGGCUUAGUUAUGGCCUAUGUCUGGUUAACCAGCUGAAAAAUUGAUGAGCGUGACCGCAUCACAUGACUUACGGGCGCACUUUGGCAUCUCUCUGGCUUGCCAAAAGGCUGUGCAAACGCCGGGAAUUUUGAACAUUCCAUGCGUGCCCCCAGUCUCACAUCAGUUUGCCGGCAGACAACGUAAGGUAAGUCGCGUUUAUUCUCAUUUUAAAAAGACAUUGUCAUUGCUAACAUCAAGUUACUCAGAAUAUUCGUUUAAUAUGUUAUAAACGCCAGUCAUGCCCUCCACACCGUUACAUGUAAAUAGCCUGUAUGCCAUAUAAUUCAGUGAGCGAUCAUUGGCUACCUUUGUAGACUAUAAAAACUGCAUUUAACGUGCAUUAAGGCAUUUUAGAUGUGAAGUAUGGCAGGCUAAAUGUAUGUACGUUACCUUCGAAAACAUCGAGAAAUGCAAACGGGAUCUGCUAGCAAGUUGUAGGAAAUGAACAUAGACAAUAGGCUAGUAGACAUAAACAGUAGGCUAUAAGAUAUUUAGGGGCAGGCCUAUCAUAGGCUACCUGAUAAACCGUUGGCCCAACUUGCUGCUAACUCCUGGUUGAUUGAAGGAUCUUGCUUUCUAAGCAGUCCACCAGUGUCUGUAAAGCCACCAUACAUUGCAGCGAACUACUUCACGAACUCACAUUUUGAUGACAGCCCUACGCUCCGUUGUAGGCGUGUUUUCAACCUUUGCUAUUUUGUGGUUGAAUCAUAGAUAGAUAGAUAGAUAGAUAGAUAGACAGACAGACAGAGACAGAUAGAUAGAUAGAUAGAUAAUUGAUUCCCAAGGGGAAAUUCCAUUCUGAUAUUCUUGUACUGUUUGGAAUAUCAGUAGGCUAUGAUUUAUUCAUUAUUAUUGCACUCGCCCUUAGAGGAGUGAAUCACUCAAUGUUUUAUAAAUAAGUACAUGUAGAACUAUUGCACUUGCCCAUAUAACCUAAUGUCAUUAAGUUUAUUCACAAAUAUUACACAAGCCCAUUUUUUAAAUAUGUAGAACUAUUGCACUUGCCCAUAUAAUUUAGUAACCUGAUGUCAUUAUUCUUAAACACAGUCCUACUUCCUACAGGCUACAGAUAGAUAUGUACAUACAUGCAUUUAGGAUUAUUUAAAACUGCCUUUUAAUGCUUAAUGUUUUGUUUUUGUUUUUCAGCUCUUCUGCGUGAUCUGUUGGUAAACCAACACAUUCUGCUGGACCAGCAGAAGACCAUGAUCCGCAUUCUUCAGGACCUCCACAAAUCCAUCCAGGGAGGUCAGAUGUGCACCACCACCAGGCAUACUGCUUAUUUUCCCCUGGGGGAUGAGGGGGCACUGGAGGUCUUGGAGCGCGACCUCGCAAGCACGGACCUUCACCAGGAAUUGGUCAUCACUCUUGGAUUGGCAGGGGGAGUGGAUGUGAAGGACAGUGUCUGGCGCAUACUGAAGCAGGCCAUUAGGAACAAUCUGGCCAAGAAAAUGUCAUGGCGGGGAUUGAAUGGGAAAAUCCCAUUUGAGAAAUUACAUCUCAAAUCAGUUGUUAUGGAUGCAGUGAGGAGAAAUCCAUCCUGCUUAGGGACCGUUCGUUAUUUAUAAACGGGGUCACCGGAGGAAAAUAGGGGAGGGUCAUGUCUUUUUAUUCUUUGUUAAGGGGAGGGUCACCUAACUUUU